UACAGAGGUCCCAAGCGUUGUUCGGAUUCACUGGCGUAAAGGGUGCGUAGGUGGCGAGGUAAGUUUGAUGUGAAAUCUCCGGGCUUAACCCGGAAAUGGCAUUGAAUACUCUCUCGCUAGAGGGUUGGAGGGGGGACUGGAAUUCUCGGGUGUAGCAGUGAAAUGCGUAGAUAUCGAGAGGAACACCAGUGGCGAAGGCGACUUCCUGGCCUGUUCUUGACGCUGAGGCGCGAAAGCUAGGGGAGCAAACGGG
rnacentral:rRNA from 1 species